rnacentral:lncRNA from 1 species
UCGGGGUGCUGGCAGCGGCAGCCCACGCCUCCCAGGGAUUGCAGGCCUGGGCGCCGGGGUUGGACCAGUCUCCCGGGCAUGGCACGCCCUGGUUAUUCUGUACCCGUGAUUUGUGGCGGGGCAAGACGUUAAGUUGGGUGACACCGAGUGACACCAGUGAUGCUGUUAAACAAGGACAAUCCGGUUCAUGGAUUGUGACAACGCACGCUGACAUCAAGCAGACCCUGCCGUCAGCUGAGUGCCAUGAGAGGACAGUGACAACCUUGGGGCCUCAUGGUGAAGGUGGCAGAAACUUUGUUAGCCUGGGUGCUCAGGGUGGACAGCUGCUCUUGCCAACCGGGAACAUUUGCCUUGAGCUCUUUUGUAAGUGACAGAUAAGCUUUUAUUGUACUUCAGCCA